rnacentral:rRNA from 1 species
CCUACGGGGGGCUGCAGUGGGGAAUAUUGCACAAUGGGCGCAAGCCUGAUGCAGCGACGCCGCGUGGGGGAUGACGGCCUUCGGGUUGUAAACCUCUUUCAACUACGACGAAGCGCAAGUGACGGUAGUAGUAGAAGAAGCACCGGCCAACUACGUGCCAGCAGCCGCGGUAAUACGUAGGGUGCGAGCGUUGUCCGGAAUUACUGGGCGUAAAGAGCUCGUAGGUGGUUUGUCGCGUUGUUCGUGAAAACUCACAGCUUAACUGUGGGCGUGCG